UUGUGAUUAACUAAUUACCUGUCCAGAUAGCUCCUCCAGAGUUGAAAUAGUAUAGUUCGUUGAAUAGAGUGACUCUAUACCUGAAAAAUUCUUAGGUUAUAAUCUUUUCUUUUCUUUUUUUGAUGAAAGGUUAUAAUCUUCUCGUCAUCGAUUGUUGGAGAUGAGAAUCAAAGAUAGGUUACCAAUCAGGGAGUGAAGUGUCUAAAAGUAUAGUGUUUUGCCAUUCUUCAAUCUGAGACUCCCAAUUACCAUAAUCUUGUUUUUGUAUUAAGAACAAGAAAUGUCAUAUUAGAGUGCAAUAGAAGUGAAAAAAAUAAUAUAUAUAUAUAGAAUUGCACAAGC